UGCCGGAUCAUUAACGAUCAAACCUUUCCAAUUAUAUGGUCUGACAAACCAUGUAGAACGCUGUAAACCCAGCGUAGUCAGCGAAGGUGGCCUGCUUCUGCCACGCAGGCUUAAGUAAUUGUUCCGCUCUUACCUGGCUUAUUUUGCUGGCGAAAAACGGCUCCGUUGGCCUCUAAGUUUCCCUGAGCAGUUGUUUGCUUGUUCGUCCGUGGCUGCGAUGAGGGGAAGCGGUACGUGGUUUUCGUAAUCGCGAGAGUUAAUGAGCACAGGCUUUGGUGCCGCCAACACAAAACCCUAUUUUACGAAUUUUUAAAGAGAAAAUUUUUAGUCUUAUCGGUGGAUCACUCGGCUCGUAGAUCGAUGAAGAACGCAGCCAGCUGCGAUAAUUAGUGCGAACUGCAGAUAUUUUGAGCACUGAAGUUUCGAAUGCACAUUGCGCCAUUGGAUUUUUCCUUUGGCAUGUCUGGUUCAGGGUCGUAAAUAGAAAACCCCAAGCAAUUGGUGGUGAAAUGCCCGUGUGGACCGUUGAUGCAUUGGCCUAGCACUAGCUUGUUUGUGCUGCCUUUAGGCCUUGCAGAAAACGCUCCCACUAAAAUCCACAAUAACAAACUCUGAAAACUGCUGCAUUUGGCGUAUGUCCUAGCGCUUUUAUGGACAGAGUCACUUGCGGCUAAUUUCUAGUGGAUUUGUCGAUUUUUCGACCUGAACUCAGACAUGAUU
rnacentral:rRNA from 1 species